rnacentral:rRNA from 1 species
GAUGAACGCUGGCGGCGUGCCUAAUACAUGCAAGUCGAGCGAACAGACGAGGAGCUUGCUCCUCUGACGUUAGCGGCGGACGGGUGAGUAACACGUGGAUAACCUACCUAUAAGACUGGGAUAACUUCGGGAAACCGGAGCUAAUACCGGAUAAUAUAUUGAACCGCAUGGUUCAAUAGUGAAAGACGGUUUUGCUGUCACUUAUAGAUGGAUCCGCGCCGCAUUAGCUAGUUGGUAAGGUAACGGCUUACCAAGGCAACGAUGCGUAGCCGACCUGAGAGGGUGAUCGGCCACACUGGAACUGAGACACGGUCCAGACUCCUACGGGAGGCAGCAGUAGGGAAUCUUCCGCAAUGGGCGAAAGCCUGACGGAGCAACGCCGCGUGAGUGAUGAAGGUCUUCGGAUCGUAAAGCUCUGUUAGUAGGGAAGAACAAAUGUGUAAGUAACUAUGCACGUCUUGACGGUACCUAAUGAGAAAGCCACGGCUAACUACGUG